GUGUGUGCAAAAUACUCUUGAAAUCAUCAUCAUCAUGGCUCCAAACAGAAUCUACACAUAUGAAAGUUUUUUCUCUUCAACGUACUUCUCAGAAUUCUUUUCAUAUUAAGAGAAAAAAUAUCAGUUAAAUAGAUAUUAUGAAACAAGAAGGAUUCUCAACUCCUACCACUCGGAAGAAACGAUUUUGAAAAGUUGUGAGUUCUUGAAUUUAUUUGAUGAAGCGUUGCUCGAGCGUUUCAUCUUUGGUAUCCCUAAAUAAGUGUUUAUAAACCUAGUUAGAUUGUCCUAUUAGAACGUCAAUAAUGUUGGUGAAAUUCUCAUAAGUGAAGUAAAGUAGCAACAAAUCAGACCAUCUCUUGAAAUUUCACUGAGAUUUACAACCUUCCUUGUACUGGUAUAGAGUAUAAAGCUGAUGAAGAUGCAUGUAAUGGUUAUUCUUAAGUACCUGAUGUUAUCUCCUCCUUAACAAAUCCAAGCUUUGGCAUCCCUUUUCCUUUUAAGGUGAGCACAAUGCUCCUAGAUAUUCAUCUCACCCUUUAUGUGAUUACACAUAUUCUUGUUCCAAGGAAACAAAACUUUGGGCAACAAACCAAAACACAUGUUCGUACGAUUUGGUUGCCUACUAAUAAAAUAGAAACAAAUUGGGCUAGUACCAUGAUCCAUCAUAUGAUGAAUAUAAAAGGAAAGAAUAUGUGGUUAUCAUUUGGUUGGGUGAUAAAAAAAUAUCUUGGAGCACUCUGGAUUCAACCUUGAGGAUGAAUAAUCAAACCAAUGUUAAACUAGGAUAAGAAGUAAAACUUUAAGGAAAAUGAGAUUAAUCAUCCCCAAAGGGGUGUUGUCCCAUAAGUCUUCCAAGGAAAGCUCCUCAAGUCAACCGGCUCCACCUCAUCAAGGAGACUCAUCCAUUUUAGAAGAGUUCAAUUAUGAGAUACUAGAGACUAUUCCUACAAAAUCUCUUCUUGACACCAUCGUCAAGAGGAAGAAGAAGACAGUCAGAAAGACCAAUAUUUUAGCUUGUAUGCUCUUACAUAAUGGAUCUCAGUUACUCUUAGAGUAUUCAGUGAUGAUGAAGAGGAUGAGAAGGAAUCUGAGUAGUCCUUACAUAGUUGUUUUGUCAUUUUUGUUGCUUUUGUUAUGAUAUUUCCUACUGUAUUUGAAUUACCUUUUUAAUUAAUGAAGUAUUUAGAUUUUUAAAUGCUUGUGUGUGCUUCAUUUUUAAACUGUGAUUUAUGUGCUUGAAUUUCUUCCAUAUGUGUUUUCCUUUUCCCCAUGUUU
rnacentral:lncRNA from 1 species